rnacentral:rRNA from 1 species
GAUACUACCCUAGCUGUGUUGGCUUUCUAACCCGCACCACUUAUCGUGGUGGGAGACAGUGUCAGGCGGGCAGUUUGACUGGGGCGGUCGCCUCCUAAAAGGUAACGGAGGCGCUCAAAGGUUCCCUCAGAAUGGUUGGAAAUCAUUCAUAGAGUGUAAAGGCAUAAGGGAGCUUGACUGCGAGACCUACAAGUCGAGCA